GCUUCUAUGGCACAGUUGAUUGAGUGUUUGGCUGCUGGGCAAAAGGUUGCUGGUUCAAGCCCAACCAGGGACA
rnacentral:tRNA from 1 species